rnacentral:misc_RNA from 1 species
UUCAAGGAAUUGCAAAAGAAAUGCAAGACACCUCUGGAUGCCACUACCUCUCUUAAAAAUCGUGGGUUGGAAGUGGAAUUGGAGGAUGCCAUCCAUAAGGACUAACUUUUCUUUCCCUGCUGUCAUCUUCCCCGAUCUUCGUCAUCAGAAUUUUACAUGGUGACCAUCUCAACUUCGCCUGUUUUCAUGUAGGCCGAGGAAACGUUUAAUUCUUGCUGGCUCAUAUAAUCUACCUUUCAAUUUUUGGAUACAUGUAUUCUUCCA